rnacentral:lncRNA from 1 species
GCGGGGAUCUUUGUAGAAAAUGGACGGGGUGGGGCGGCACCUCAUGCGGAAACUGGGCGGGGACUAAUGGAGAAUGGACUGAGCUGGGGCGGAGUCUGGUGGGAUUGGGCGGGGAUUGGGCGGAGCCCCCUCCCGGCUUCCAGGGAGCGUCGGCCAAGAGCCGGUUCGUGCGCGCGCCGCACAGUCAGAGUUUGGGGCUGGAAAUGCGUCGCCCCAGACCCCAGUCAGGUCGUGGUUCUGCUGAGUCUGUAGGCCAAGACCCAUUCAGCAGUUCUGCAAGAGCAGCUCGCGCCAUCCACCCGUAAGGAGUGCCCCGUGGGUGAUCUGCUGGAGCCGGAUCAGCGACCACCACGCGCAUCUCCUGACGCCCGGAAGAGCAGCUCGACGCCCCCACCAACACGGCCGCUCAUGCCCUCGGCUUACGGUGACCUUGGAAGAACUCUAGCUGCAUCUUUGUCCUUACUUCUGUUUCUCUUUCCGUCGGAGCUCUGCGCCUACUGUCCCAGCGCUCCCCAUCCCUAAGCAAAGGUGCCCACUUGGACGAGACCGUUGCAGGAAGCCGCCCUCGUACCCACCAGAGAUAAAGCCAAAAUGGGAAUUUUGCUGCCAGCCGACAGGCUGUUCUGUGUGACCUUGAUCUUUCAAACGUUCAGUUAACGUGCUAACCCCCCUUUACCCUCGAGAGGCAUUGGGACCCGAGUCAGCCUCUGGGGUUCAGCCCCUCAUUGAUGACCUUGGUCAGCACCCCCAUCCCACCUAAAGCUCCUCCGUUUGCCUCACAGUACAAGGGGAAGAACAGUAACACCUAACUCUUAGGGACCAGCAUACGGCUGAGCCAUAGUCCCUGGAAAGUGAUUUUAACACCCUAGAAAGUCUUAUCUUCGUUCUUAAUUAUUCCUGCCUUUGUCAACUGCCCUCUUGACCGGGCCUCUGAACUGCUUGUUCAAUCCCUACCUGCCCCGCCUCAGAUCUAUUAUCUCCUAUGGAGUCAGUCCCUGUUUCACAAAAUAGCCUCUGUGGAGUGUCAUCAUUUCUGGGGCAGGAGCACUGUCCUCUAUUUACUUCCCUUCAAGAUGCCUAGAAUAGUUCUCUGGGGCCUUGAAGUAAAACAGUCUUUUGCACAAGGAUAGAGGAGAGACUGUGGUAGCUCCUGCUACCCCUGGCCCUGUUCCUUUGGGGCCUAGGGCACCGUGACAUUUGAUGUGGGCAAGGUAUCCUAGGUAAAUGGAUGUAAAAGGGUGAGCCCAUCAGGUAUUGGUCAUGGAGUGAGUGUUUCCAAAGAAUCAUUAUCUUCUUGUUUCUGAGCUUUCCAGACAUAACACUGCUUCUGUCCUUAGAUCCAGCACCUUUUUGGGUUUCAGUGGGCCCUGUCUUGAAAUCAUUACUCGCUAGCUGGUAGCAGUCACGAGCCAGCCAAAUCCAGCUGCCUGGGUGACCUUGGCCAAGACACUUCACCUUUCUGAAGCUCCAUUUUUUUUUUUUUAAUCUGUAAGAUGAGAGUCUGAGGGAACAAACCCAGGAUUAGUGACAUCUAGGGUCAGGUUAGUUCUCCAUUGUAAGAGCAUAGCAGCACACAGUACCCGGGAUGUCCCAGGAGCACCCCGUCCACAGUUGUGAGCCGUCGGUGCCUUCUAAGGUAGCCAGAGAACCUCUGACACACGCAACACAGCUAGCUGGGUUAGGUAGUGCUAAGUAAACACUAGUCCCCUUCUCAGCCUGUGACCAAGGCUGGAGGUUAGCCUCACAUUUACACAUGGGUCCCACCCUCCAAACAAGAACUGACUGUCAGAAAGAAUGACCGAGCACUUCCACAUCUGUGGACGGGCCCCUCACAUCAUCUCCCACCCUGGAACAGUGACACUGCCUAGCACACGUGUCUGGAUUUCUUGUGGAGCUCUUUGUUGCUGGUUUGUUGGAUUUAUGUAGCCCAGGACAGCCCUGAACUCCUGAUCCUCCCGCCCCAGUCCCCAGAACGCUAGGGUUACAGGCCUGCAUCACCAAAUCUAGUUCUGUGUGGGCUUUUCCUCUGUGAGUAAUGGGACUUUCUUCAACCUGGUGUUGUAAGACUUUGAGCAUACAGUAAGCAGCCAAUAAGUGCCAGCCUUUACUAAUUCCGCUCACAGUCUGAUGCUAGAGGUGCCUGUGUCUUUUAGGGUUGAUUUGCAGUAAAGAGAAGGAAACACGGGCUAACAAGAGCUUAAAAGCUAAGGGCAUCAUUUUCUCAGAAGAGGCCCAGAGCUGGGUUCCUGAGGCUGACUCAAAAUGUAGUAACGUCGUCAGAGCACCUCUGACCUUGCUGUCUCUGUCACGGUGUUUGGCCUCCAAGUCACAAGAUGGCUGCUGAGAAGAGACAUCACCUCCUCUCACACAACUGUCCCGUGGCAGAAAGAGGACAAAGGGGACCCUGUCUCUUCUGUGCCUCUCUUAUUGAAAGGAUAAAAGUUAAGACCCAGCAGGUCAGAGCUGGGUCGCGUGGCCACUCCCCUAAUAGUCCCUGACCAAGACCAAGGAUCACAGCAUUGACUUAGGAGAGGCCUAUUUCAUAUCCUGGGACACUGCACCCCUAAACACGUGGGGUUCUGUUAACAAGCCUAGGGGGCCCUAAAGGUAAAGCAACAAGCACCUACUAAGCACCUGGCCUUGAAGGACAUGCUGAGCAGGAUACAGGUUACAGAAGUGAGCUGUGAGGACAGGAAUAGAGGUAAUAGCAAGUUCCUGCCCUUUCAUUCAACCGAUGGUAGCGAGAGCCUAAUAUGCAGCUACUGGGGGUUGGUAGAGGUCAGGACAGAUGUCCAGAGCAAGGAGAGGUCCCAAACAUGAUGGUCACAGUUCUUUCUGCUUCCCAGAGGCAAGCAAAGCAAAAGCCAAGAAUACACAGCUGAGGGGCCUGCAGGCCUCUGAUGACUCCAUACCCCCGACAGAGACAACUUUGUCCACAGUUGGUGGGAUCAGUGGGGGCACCCUCUGUACCCUGUCUGGUGAGACUCUCAGAUUAGCUACUACUGACUGAGAGUGACUUACUAAGCCAAAGGUUGUGUAACGAUCUCUUCCAAGAUGAAAAUGUCCCAUCCAGCAGGGAAACUCCUUAAGCGGGGAGGUGAACAACCAAAGAGACUUCAAGAGCUCCCUGAAGCUGAGCAGACUCACUAGGCCCUGCCCUGCCGCCAGAGUAAGCAAUCAAAGUUAAGAGUCCCUCUCAGACAGCAGGAAGUUGAGCAGCAAGGAAGACUCUGAGACCAGACUAGCCACCCAGAAGAAGCAGAAACCAGCCCAGCUGCUGGAAGAGUUUUAAGCCAGCUGGGACAGCUAGAAGGGACACUCUCCGGCCCGCUGAGCUGCCUGCAGGCUGUGCAAGUGUGCUCCAGGUUCUCAGCUUCAUGAGCUGUCACCCGUGCUGGGGUGGACACCUGAUGAUGUCUUUGAGUCAUUUCUGCUCCUGUGAGUAAACCCUCCCCCAUAUUCCUAUAUGAGGACCCAAGCUUCCGGUAGGUAGCCAUGGGUAUCAAGAUGGCUAACAGAAUACCUCAAACCAACCAGCAAGAGAAGAAAAUUCUGGGAAAGAUGAUCUGGUCCUCAAAGAAAGAAACCAGAAGCAUCUCAUGUGUCUUCCUCCAUGCCCAGGACAUGGCCACCCCAAUGUCUGAACCCAAAUCCAUACCACACCAUCUCUCACUUCCUAGAUGCUGCCGGUGACUUGUGGAAGCUGUGACCUCUGUGUACAAACAUUACCAUCAAGUGAAUAUUAGCCAGAUGGGUGUGUGGGUGGGUGGGUGGAUGGGUGGAUGGAUGGGUGGAUAGAUACAUGAUUAAUUGAUUGAAUGAAUGAAUGAGUGAAUGAGUCAGUGAAUGAAUGAAUGAAUGAUUGGAUGGAUGGAUGGGAUGGAUGAUUGGAUGGAUGGAUGGAUGAUUGGUUGAUUGAAUGAAUGAGUGAAUGAGUGAGUGAGUGAAUGGAGGGAUGGAUGGAUGGAUAGAUGAUUGGAUAGAUAGAUGGAUGGAUGGAUGGAUGGAUAGAUGAAUGGAUGAUUGAAUGAAUGAACGAGUGAAUGAGUGAGUGGAUGGAUGGAUGGAUGGCUGUAGUACCUACUUUGGAUUCUAGCUUGAGAGAAACCUCGCCCUGAUUAUUUGGCAUAAAGAACGGUGAACAUCAGACGUGAGGUACCAGCUAGCACCAACGUUCUUACCUCUGAAAAGGCCAGUAAAGCUGGAGCAGAUGCUGCCUGUAGCCCAGCUGCAGGAACAGCAGGUGUGCCUGGAGACUGGCUCUUGUGUUCAGGGAACUGCAGGAAGGAUCACAGUAGGACGUGCUGUGAAAAGGGAGGGGACCAGGUGUGAGCAUUGCAUGAUCUUAAAGACCUGGACACCUGGGGUUGGGAAGAUGCCUCAGUUGGUGAAGUGCUUGCUAAGCAAAUAUGAGGACAUGAGUUCCAUCCCCAGCAUCUGUGUAAAAGCCAGGCGUGGCACUGCACAUCUGUAACCCAAGGUUGGGAGGUAGAGACAGGCGGAUCUCAGGGGCUAGUCUCAGCUCCAGGUUCAUUGAAAGACCCCUUCCCAAAAGGUAAAGUGAAGAACAAUAAAGACAUCCUUCUAUCCAUCUUUGGCCUCCAUACGUGCCCAAGUGGAUACUGUACUUGCAGACACACACAACUGAGGGAACCAAACCUUGACUUCUCCUCUGAGAGAGAUGGAAGCCACAGAAGGUCUCAACUGAGGAAAGUUAUGAUGUGACUGAAGUUCACAGGGUCCCCCUGUGGCUCCGAGGGUAUAGACUUACAGAGGCUGAGACAGAGAUGGUGACCUGGGAGAAG